rnacentral:lncRNA from 1 species
CGGGCAGCUUGCAGCACCCUCGCGGAGGGCUGGGCAGGGUGGUGGAGCUGACCUCUGUCUCUACAGGGCCCCCCUGGACUGGUCAAUGGGGCAGCGCCGCAAGGGGAGCCCGGCACCCCGGGUCUGCCUGGGGACCCUGGGCCCCGGGGUCCUGCCGGCCCCCCCGGACCAAAAGGAGACAAGGGUGACAGUGAGGAAGGUUUCCCAGGGCCACCCGGCCGCCCAGGGGACCCGGGGGAUCGGGUGAGUUCCCUGAGACGAGGUAAGGCCGGCUGGGACCAGCACACUCGGCAAAGAGACUGUGGGAUUGCUCCC